UACGAAGGGGGCGAGCGUUGUUCGGAUUUACUGGGCGUAAAGGGCUCGUAGGCGGCCAACUAAGUCAGACGUGAAAUCCCUCGGCUUAACCGGGGAACUGCGUCUGAUACUGGAUGGCUUGAGGUUGGGAGAGGGAUGCGGAAUUCCAGGUGUAGCGGUGAAAUGCGUAGAUAUCAGGAGGAACACCGGUGGCGAAGGCGGUUCUCUGGGCCUGUACUGACGCUGAGGAGCGAAAGCGUGGGGAGCAAACAGG
rnacentral:rRNA from 1 species